GUUUAACAUCUCGAGAAACUGCCCAACUGUUUUCCAUUGUACUACCAGCAAGAGUAAAAAAGCCAUAAAGAAUAUCCUGCAAAAAUGUACCUACUUACCAGCCCUUGAACCAUUUCUAUAUGAUGCUCCUCCCAAUAUUCUGAAACAUGUGGUUGGACAGUUCAGUAAGGUGCUGCCGCAUGAUAGCAAAGCUCGACGACUUUUUGUAACAAGUGGUGGCCUUAAAAAAGUUCAAGAGAUAAAAGCAGAACCUGGUUCUCUCCUUCAAGAAUACAUCAACAGUAUUAACAGUUGUUACCCCGAGGAAAUAGUGAGGUAUUAUUCCCCUGGAUAUUCAGAUACACUUCUGCAGAGGGUGGACAGCUAUCAACCACUUAAUAACUGAGCAAAGUUAUAUUGUGAUACUCAAAUUCACAGCAGAGUAGUUUUGAGUAACAGUAAUUAAAUCCUUCUAAAUAUUUGAACUAAGUAUAUUCUAGAUUUAUUUAAUGGGAAAUACCUUUAGAUAAUAUUUUCUAAAUUUAUGUAAUACUUUAAACAUUCGUAGCUUGAAUAUGUGAGGAACUAUUCAUGGUCAUUCGCAUGCAUAGGAUUUGUUCUACAGGUAGAUUUUAAAAACACGUUAAAGGGCCUUAAGGCAUUUUGUUAUUCUGUUAAAAACCACACACACUCGUACAUGCAGACACCUCCAAUGAGAUAUAGUUAAGAGAUGGCAUUCAAAAACCCUAAAUUAUUCUAGCCAAUUUGUCAUAGGCAUAGGCAAGGAAAGCUGGCCUUGCUAACUAUAUAGUAGUAUACACAAGAGAAAUCUUUGAAGGAGGAAACUGAUGACAGAUAUACAGGGCACUUGAAGGAGACUCUGAUGCUAGUUAUAUAAGUGCAUUAACUUAAGACACGGACUCUGUGGGUAACCUGUUAGGUUUUACUAAGAAUUUAGGAAAAAUUUACUCCUCUUUAUCACAAGUUUUCCAAACCUCCUUCCCCACCCUAUCUAAAGUGUUCCUUACCUUUCAUGGGCCCAGCGAGGGUAGAAUUCAGAAUAGAGAGUUAUACUCCUGCAUACAUGCUCUCCCUCUCAUUGAAAGGUUUCUUAGUCUAGCUCUGCUCAUGAAUGAACAAAGAAGCAGGCAUGUAAAAUGGAUCCUUGUCCUAACGUCACUUUCCCAAGUUUCAAAAGUCACAUUUUCAGGUAUUUAAGGAAUAGUUUGAAGCUAAUACCAUCAGGCUCAGAGUUUACAUGCAUUUUUACUUAGGAAGUGGUAAACGGGUGAAAGAGGGUUUCAAUAAAAUUUUAAAUAAAAACAGCAUUAGAAUUGUCCUUUUCAUUUUUCCUA
rnacentral:lncRNA from 1 species